UACGGGGGGGGCAAGCGUUGUUCGGAAUUACUGGGCGUAAAGGGCCAGUAGGCGGCCAACUAAGUCCGACGUGAAAUCCCCAGGCUUAACCUGGGAACUGCGUCGGAUACUGGAUGGCUUGAAUUCGGGAGAGGGAUGCAGAAUUCCAGGUGUAGCGGUGAAAUGCGUAGAUAUCUGGAGGAAUACCGGUGGCGAAGGCGGCAUCCUGGACCGGCAUUGACGCUGAGGAGCGAAAGCGUGGGGAGCGAACAGG
rnacentral:rRNA from 1 species